rnacentral:rRNA from 1 species
AUGUGGAAGAACACCAGUGGCGAAAGCGGCUUGCUAGAUCGUAACUGACGUUGAGGCUCGAAAGUAUGGGUAGCAAACGGGAUUAGAUACCCCGGUAGUCCAUACCGUAAACGAUGGGUGCUAGUUGUUAAGAGGUUUCCGCCUCCUAGUGACGUAGCAAACGCAUUAAGCACCCCGCCUGAGGAGUACGGCCGCAAGGCUAAAACUUAAAGGAAUUGACGGGGACCCGCACAAGCGGUGGAGCAUGUGGUUUAAUUCGAAGAUACGCGAAAAACCUUACCAGGUCUUGACAUACCAAUGAUCGCUUUUGUAAUGAAAGCUUUUCUUCGGAACAUUGGAUACAGGUGGUGCAUGGUCGUCGUCAGCUCGUGUCGUGAGAUGUUGGGUUAAGUCCCGCAACGAGCGCAACCCUUGUUAUUAGUUGCCAGCAUUUAGUUGGGCACUCUAAUG